rnacentral:lncRNA from 1 species
GAUUUAUUGCAUUUUAUUAUAAAAAGAAUAAACAUCAAGUAUUUAUAAAUAAGUUAACAAUCAGGCAGACAACACAGCCAAUCUAAGCUAAUCUAUACAGAGUCGUUGGGCAGAAAAUAAUCACAAAUUUUCUAUUGGCAAAAAAAAUCACAAUUUCUAUAAGGGGUUGAAGAAAUACGAACAUCACAACUUUAACAUGGAAGACACACCGCACAUCUUUAUACAGAGCAGAAAAAUACAAUGUUCUAACAACAUUUUGUCAAUUAGUCUACAAAAAACAAACCACAGCUUGUCAGUGUAAUAUGUAAGCAUGAGAGUUUCAAAUUGUAAAUGAAAUGGAUGUGUCAUGUGAAAGUCAACUUAAUUAAAGGAAAUUGUCUGCCAUUAUAAAUAACUUGUAAAUCUUUCAUUUUGUGCCAAUUCUUAAUUUCAUUUACAAACUCUUGAAGUUGAUGGUAGCAUUGUUCAUAUGAGGUUGAUAAGGUAUGCUAUUCUGUCUACUUGUACUUGUAUCAUUAAUGCCAAACAGUCUCAUUUGUAUAUACAUUCUCAUUCUGGCUGUGAACAGAAACUUGAAUUGAAUUUUCCUUUUAAUGUAUAACAAAUUAAAAUUGCAUUUCUUAAAGAGAAAAAAAGUGACAAAACCAACGGAUGAAAACAACAAGGUUUCAGCAAUAUUUAAGGUUAUUGGUUUACCAGAGAUAAGAUAUUUGUUCAAAUUCGCAUAACAAAUGUGGAAUAAAAAACAGUAAUAUUUUUAUAAUACAUUUACAUUGUAAAGUGGAAAAUCAAAUGGUCAACAGACUGUAAGCUGGAAUAUGUGCUACCUCUAGCCUUUUUAUAAGUAAAACAAAGUCAGUUCAAGGUGUGUUUGAUUUACAAGUUGAAGUAAACAGUUAAUUGCAAAUACAUCAUCUAAAACAGAUUCUAAUAAGAAAACUGGCCACUGAUAAACAAGUUUAUUUCUAUAACAACAACAAUCUAUAACUCCCUCUUUGGUCAAACCAAACUUUUCAUUUAUAACAUAAUCUGACCACUCUAAUACUGAGGCACCACACAAACACAUGUAUUUUAAUACAAUCUGGUAUUCAGCUGCCAUUACAGAAAGACUCAUACUAGACUUGUCAUGUGAUCAACUUUCAUACUCAGAUCACAUGAUUAAUGUCAUGUGAUCAUCAUACACAUACUGUGCAAUGUCAUGUGAUCCUCAUACACAUACUCAGAUCAUAUGAUGUCAUGUGAUCUGCAUACACAUACUCAGAUCAAAUGAUCAAUGCCAUGUGAUCUACAUAGACAUACUCAGAUCACAUGAUCAAUGUCAUGUGGUCUGCAUACACAUACUUAGAUCACAAAAUUGUGUCAGUUUUUGUUGUUGUUAAAUAUUGGUAAAGAUCAGCUCAGAAGUUCUCAUGUACUUGCAUGAUGCUCAAUACAGUUGAGUUUACUGAUUUACACAAACAUUUUGAAGCUUAUACUUUGUAUCAAUAAAAAAAUAAGCAUCAUUUUCAUAAAUGGUUUUUGCAUUUCUUGAUAUUAUACUUGUUUUCCAAAUAUGUAAUCUUCAGAUUUAUCAAGAAGACAAAUUAUGUAAAAUAUCUAUUUUCAUGUACAAUUUAUCCAAGUACAUCAAAGAAAAAAACAAAAAAACUAUUGAAGUUUCUGUUCUACUAAAAAGCAAUAUAUGCAUGUUUCUUUAAACCAAAAGUUUUAUCUUAAAUUAGACUUAUUUAUCUGCCAACUUAUUUAGUAUGAGAACUUCUGAGAAGAUCCCUAAUUUGCAGUAUACUUGUGCUUUCUCACCUGUUCAAACUAAAUACUGUAAAUUCAGAUAUUAUUUAGAUGCUUUUAUUAGAGCACAAAAAGGGACAGAGUUAUAAUUGCAAUAAUUUAAACUCCCAUUUUGAGAUAUUUUAUAUGAAUUAAACAGGAUUUUCAUCUCCACUUUGCAACAAUUAAAAUCGCAUUUAAGUCUAUAAUGACAAAAUUGAAGUCAUAAACGCAAGCAAUAAUUGCUGAAUUUACAGUAAAUCAUUAUUUUAGAUUCUUACCAUUGGCUUUAACUGGAAAGAACUUGAGAGGGACAAAAAAUUAAAAUUAUACUUAACUUAGACAAGAGAUGUUACACAAACAAAUUUCAACAAGUCUUUCAACAUAAAGGUGAAAAUUAUGAGGUCACAUACAUUUUCUGAUUCAUAAAAAAGGAUUUUUAUCCUAAAAUGUUCCUCAAAGUGUGAUUAAAAAAGGAGAAAUUGUUAAAUUGCAUAGAUUAAAAGUCAUAAUCAGAACAUAGAACAUCUUACUUUAUAAAGGAAGUACAGUAAAUAUACAUCUUGUACUGCUGUUAAACCCUAUUACAGUGAAACCUAACUUAACAGAACCUUGUGAAAACUGAACUUGUUUAAAAUAAACUCUUGUGAAGAAAAAUACAAUAAAUUUUCUUUAAUUUUAUUGAACCAUUUAAAUCAAACUCUUGCUUUAUAAAAACAAAUUUUGGUCCAAAAUUGGGUUAUAGAUAGUACGUUAAAAGACUGAUCUUUCUAAUAUUGCUUAUAUUAUAUCUUACUGAUAAAAAAAUGGAGUAAGGUAUUUGGCUGAUAACACAACGAAAAUCAACUACUUUUAAUCAAAGGUUCUAUGCAAAUAUCCAUCAAUUCAAAAUCAUUCAUUCGGAUUCAGUGAAAAAUAAAACAAUACAAUACAUGAUAAUGUUGGAUUCAAGGAGAGCAGAAAUCUCAGUUCUUUAAAACUAUCCAAAUUAUUUAUCAAUGUGACUUGAUAUUAUGAACAAUGACAAACAAUUUAGUCGUAAUAUUUGCUACAGACAAUGUUCUAUUGUUGACAUUAUCAACAUUUACUUAUGCAGGAUUCCUUUUUUUGAUAUUUUGAUGUAACAAGAGUGCAUACACGCUGAAAUGUCUCGCCUUCUAUACUAAUCAUUGAUAUUAUGUUGAUAGUCCUAAGUAUAAAGCUUUAUUACAACUGUCACAUAAACUUAACAUUAACCAAGAUAACUAAACAAAGACCAAUGAACCUUGAAAAAUGGAUCAAGGUCAGAUGAACCAUGCCAAGCAGACAUGUACAGCUAACAAUGCCUCUAUACAACAUAUAUAGUUGACCUAUUACUUAUAGUUUAAGAAAAUAGACCAAAACACAAAAACUUAAUACUGUGCAAUGAACCGUGAAAAUGAGGUCACGGUCAAAUAAAACCUGCGCUACUGACAUAAAGAUCAUAAAAUAUUUCCAUACACCAAAUAUAGUUGACCUAUGGCAUAUAGUAUUAGAUAAAAAGACCAAAAAUCAAAAACUUAACUUUGACCACUGAACCAUGAAAAUGAGGUCAAGGUCACAUGACAUCUGCCCGCUAGACAUGUACACCUUACAAUCAUUCCAUACAACAAAUAUAGUAGACCUAUUGCAUAUAGUAUGAGAAAAACAGACCAAAAACACAAAAAUUUAACUAUAACCACUGAACCAUGAAAAUGAGGUCAAGGUCAGAUGACACCUGCCAGUUGGACAUGUACACCUUACAGUCCUUCCAUACACCGAAUAUACUAGCCCUAUUGCUUAUAGUAUCUGAGAUAUGGACUUGACCACCAAAACUUAACCUUGUUUACUGAUCCAUGAAAUGAGGUCGAGGUCAAGUGAAAACUGUCUGACAGACAUGAGGACCUUGCAAGGUACCUACAUAUCAAAUAUAGUUAUCCUAUUACUUAUAAUAAGAGAGAAUUCAACAUCACAAAAAAACUAAACUUUUUUUUUCAAGUGGUCACUGAACCAUGAAAAUGAGGUCAAGGACAUUGGACAUGUGACUGACGGAAACUUCGUAACAUGAGGCAUCUAUAUAUAUACAAAGUAUGAAGCAUUCAGGUCUUCCACCUUCUAAAAUAUAAAGCUUUUAAGGAGUUAGCUAACGCCGCCACCGGAUCACUAUCCCUAUGUUGAGCUUUCUGCAACA